CAGUUAAAAAGCUCGUAGUCGGAUUUCAGUUUGUUUAUGCAUGAGCCAUGUGCUCUUUGCGUCGACUUACUUCAUGACAGAAACAUUCAUGCUCUUUAUUGGGUGUGUUUACUUACUGUCUCUUUUACUUUGAGGAAAUUAGAGUGUUCAAAGCAGGUAUUUGCCUGAAUAUUACUCUUGGAAUAAUAAUAUAGGACUUCAGUCUUAGUUUGUUGGUGAACCGGGACCGGAGUAAUGAUUGAUAGGGACAGUUGGGGUCAUUCAUACUGCAAAGCGAGAGGUGAAAUUCUUGGACCUUUGUAUGAUGAACAACUGCGAAAGCAUUUGACUAGGAUGUUCCCGUUGAUCAAGAACGAAAGUUGGGGGAUCGAAGACGAUCAGAUACCGUCGUAGUCUCAACCAUAAACUAUGCCAGCUAGGGAUGGGAGGAUGUUUACUAACGACUCCUUCCGCACCUUAUGAGAAAUCAAAGCAUCUGGGUUCCGGGGGGAGUAUGGUCGCAAGGCUGAAACUUAAAGGAAUUGACGGGAGGGCACCACCAGGAGUGGAGCCUGUGGCUUAAUUUGACUCAAUACGGGAAAACUUACCAGGUCCGGACAUAGUAAGGAUUGACAGAUUGAAAGCUCUUUCUUGAUUCUAUGG
rnacentral:rRNA from 1 species